rfam:Gossypium arboreum cultivar AKA8401 contig_109145_1, whole genome shotgun sequence.
AAUUAGUGGUGUGGGCAUUUCUGAAUCAACAUUAUAAAAUGCUCUCAUACCUUGUGAAAACUUUCUCCUUCUAAUUGUUUAAAGAUAAAAAUUUCCCUUCCUAUUU